rnacentral:tRNA from 6 species
GGGCCCGUCGUCUAGCCUGGUUAGGACGCUGGCCUUACAAGCCAGAGGUCUUGGGUUCAAAUCCCAACGGGCCCA